AGACAAAAACUAAAUCACAUUUUUAAAUUGCUGCCGAUUAGGUUUAACCUCAUAGCGAAAAAACCCAAAGCAAACGUCUUAAGAACGACCUGAAGGCCUUUGAGAGGAGAUUGACAGAGUAUGUCUCCUGUUUGCAACCUGCAACAGGCAGGUGGAGAAUGAUUUUGAUAGUAGUGUCGGU